AUGAACGCUAGCUACAGGCUUAACACAUGCAAGUCGAGGGGCAGCAUGGUCUUAGCUUGCUAAGGCCGAUGGCGACCGGCGCACGGGUGAGUAACACGUAUCCAACCUGCCGUCUACUCUUGGACAGCCUUCUGAAAGGAAGAUUAAUACAAGAUGGCAUCAUGAGUCCGCAUGUUCACAUGAUUAAAGGUAUUCCGGUAGACGAUGGGGAUGCGUUCCAUUAGAUAGUAGGCGGGGUAACGGCCCACCUAGUCUUCGAUGGAUAGGGGUUCUGAGAGGAAGGUCCCCCACAUUGGAACUGAGACACGGUCCAAACUCCUACGGGAGGCAGCAGUGAGGAAUAUUGGUCAAUGGGCGAGAGCCUGAACCAGCCAAGUAGCGUGAAGGAUGACUGCCCUAUGGGUUGUAAACUUCUUUUAUAAAGGAAUAAAGUCGGGUAUGGAUACCCGUUUGCAUGUACUUUAUGAAUAAGGAUCGGCUAACUCCGUGCCAGCAGCCGCGGUAAUACGGAGGAUCCGAGCGUUAUCCGGAUUUAUUGGGUUUAAAGGGAGCGUAGAUGGAUAUUUAAGUCAGUUGUGAAAGUUUGCGGCUCAACCGUAAAAUUGCAGUUGAUACUGGAUAUCUUGAGUGCAGUUGAGGCAGGCGGAAUUCGUGGUGUAGCGGUGAAAUGCUUAGAUAUCACGAAGAACUCCGAUUGCGAAGGCAGCCUGCUAAGCUGCAACUGACAUUGAGGCUCGAAAGUGUGGGUAUCAAACAGGAUUAGAUACCCUGGUAGUCCACACGGUAAACGAUGAAUACUCGCUGUUUGCGAUAUACUGCAAGCGGCCAAGCGAAAGCGUUAAGUAUUCCACCUGGGGAGUACGCCGGCAACGGUGAAACUCAAAGGAAUUGACGGGGGCCCGCACAAGCGGUGGAGUAUGUGGUUUAAUUCGAAGCAACGCGAAGAACCUUACCAGGCCUUGACAUCCCUUGCAGAGGUAUAGAGAUAUAUCCGAGGUUAUCAAGGAGACAGGUGGUGCAUGGUUGUCGUCAGCUCGUGCCGUGAGGUGUCGGCUUAAGUGCCAUAACGAGCGCAACCCUUGUUGUCAGUUACUAACAGGUUUUGCUGAGGACUCUGACAAGACUGCCAUCGUAAGAUGUGAGGAAGGUGGGGAUGACGUCAAAUCAGCACGGCCCUUACGUCCGGGGCUACACACGUGUUACAAUGGGGGGUACAGAGGGCCGCUACCACGCGAGUGGAUGCCAAUCCCCAAAACCUCUCUCAGUUCGGACUGGAGUCUGCAACCCGACUCCACGAAGCUGGAUUCGCUAGUAAUCGCGCAUCAGCCACGGCGCGGUGAAUACGUUCCCGGGCCUUGUACACACCGCCCGUCAAGCCAUGGGAGCCGGGGGUACCUGAAGUGCGUAACCGCGAGGAGCGCCCUAGGGUAAAACUGGUGACUGGGGCU
rnacentral:rRNA from 1 species